rnacentral:rRNA from 1 species
GUGGGGAAUAUUCCGCAAUGGACGAAAGUCUGACGGAGCAACGCCGCGUGAGUGAUGAAGGUUUUCGGACUGUAAAGCUCUGUUGUUUAGGACGAAAGUGCCUGUUGCGAACAGUUACAGGUAUUGACGGUACUAAACGAGGAAGCCACGGCUAACUACGUGCCAGCAGCCGCGGUAAUACGUAGGUGGCAAGCGUUGUCCGGAAUUAUUGGGCGUAAAGAGCAUGUAGGCGGAGAUUUAAGUCUGUUGUGAAAAUGCGGGGCUCAACCCCGUAUUGCAAUGGAAACUGAAGUUCUUGAGUGCAGGAGAGGAAAGGGGAAUUCCCAGUGUAGCGGUGAAAUGCGUAGAUAUUGGGAGGAACACCAGUGGCGAAGGCGCCUUUCUGGACUGUGUCUGACGCUGAGAUGCGAAAGCCAGGGUAGCGAACGGGAUUAGAUACCCUUGUAGUCC